rnacentral:rRNA from 1 species
AUUGAACGCUGGCGGCAGGCCUAACACAUGCAAGUCGAACGAGUGGCGGACGGGUGAGUAAUGUCUGGGAAACUGCCUGAUGGAGGGGGAUAACUACUGGAAACGGUAGCUAAUACCGCAUACCAUCGGAUGUGCCCAGAUGGGAUUAGCUAGUAGGUGGGGUAAAGGCUCACCUAGGCGACGAUCCCUAGCUGGUCUGAGAGGAUGACCAGACACACUGGAACUGAGCCACGGCCCAGACUCCGACGGGAGGCAGCAGUGGGGAAUAUUGCACAAUGGGCGCAAGCCUGAUGCAGCCAUGCCGCGUGUAUGAAGAAGGCCUUGGGGUUGUAAAGUACUUUCAGCGGGGAGGCGUUACCCGCAGAAGAAGCACCGGCUAACUCCGUGCCAGCCGCCGCGGUAAUAC